rnacentral:misc_RNA from 1 species
AAGUCGUAACAAGGUUUCCGUAGGUGAACCUGCGGAAGGAUCAUUACCAAAUCCAAAUUCAACCCCAUGUGAACUUGUUUUGUACGUCUUUGGGGGGCUUUCCAUUUUUUGAGGGGGCUUAAAAAACCCACUUUUCAAAUGCUUUUGCCCCCCAUGUUUACUAAACAACUUUUUAUUUUUCGUUGGAAUAUCUUUUAUUAUUAAUUAAUAAAGGACAACUUUUAACGGUGGAUCUCUUGGCUCGUG